CCGACACUCACCUGAGUUAACCUGAGUUAACCUGAGUUAACCUGAGCUGCUACACACCGGUACAGUUACCGUCACUACAGUCACUCUCUAUUACUCACUGAUAUGUGAUGUAACAGUUGUUGCCUCCAAGUUCCCAUAAAGUACAGUUCACCAAUCACACUGUAUAUGGCAGCUUCUUUAUAUGUUGUACAGAGAUCAACCAGUGCUGUACAUGAAGGCUACUUGGCCUCAGGCUUUCUGUGUGUCAGUAAGAGAUAAUGUCCGAUGAGAAAUACCUCCCGUUGCCAAGUGGUACCUAAGGUCCUCCUGUUUACUGGAGCAGUGACCCACAUGUCCAUUGCAUAGGAACCUUAUGGGAUGGUAAUGAUUUUUCAAAGUACUUGCAAACCCUCAAGUGUUGCAAAAUGCAUGAAAAUAUGAAUUAAUGGUUGUUUGGUGGGUAUUCAUUUUUUGUCUUUGGCAAGUGACCAUGGUAUAAGCAGGAUAAUGCCCUUCAAGGUGUCCAUUAUUAGGAUUAAUGGUUCUGGCCUCCCCGCUGUCCAUUAAUUCCUGAAAAGGGACUGUUGGAAAGGCUAUUGACUGUUGUAACAGCGCCCUGGCGUGGCAGAAUGAGAAGCUGCGCUAUUGAGCACAUGGAGUUGUGCACUCAGUAAUUAAGAGAGAGAGCGAGAGGCAGAGCAAGAAGCAUGUUGAACAGAGAGUGUAAAAAGUGGACUUUACUGCAUCUGUGGUGUGAUUUGUGUGCGUCUCUGAUGAAAAACAACCGGCCAGCUGGAAGCCACAAAACAUUUAGGAUCAGAUCAGAGGAGACAGCAGCGGUGCGUUUACAAGGUGCCGGUCUGCUGGCUCGUCUGGACGGGGACACACUCUCUGGGGUCGGGGGGUCCGUGAACCUGGACCCCCGGGGCUGCAGGAGAGGGUGGAUGGACAUCGAGAGUAAACACUUUACUCUCCACGACCAAGGCAGCUGUUGGCUCUGGAACAGAGGACACAAUGAUGAUGAUGAUGAUGAUGAUGAUGAUUAUUAUGAUUGUUUUGCAGAUCAUAAUAAUAAUAACAAUGAUUGUUGUGAUGGUGAAGGUGUC